GCAACCGUAGCUUAACUGGAUAGAGCACUCGGCUACGAACCGGGCGGUUGGGGAUUCGAAUUCCUCCGGUUGCACCA
rnacentral:tRNA from 1 species